rnacentral:rRNA from 1 species
UCCGGUGACUUUACCUGGUCGGGAAACACUCGUUCCCAUUCCGAACACGACAGUUAAGCCGCCAGGGCCGAUGAUAGUGCCGAAAGGUGUGAAAGUAGGUUAUCGCCGGGG